rnacentral:rRNA from 1 species
UCUNUGUAUGUCUGUAGCUUAGAUGAUACCAUACCUUCCUAUCAUAUGAGAAGAGAAGAAGUUAUCUCUCAUGUCCGCUCUCCAGGAUCGUAUCCUUAAUUAUUCUAUCGUCUGUGGCAUGAAUAUAUGAGUACACACAAAUUACUUCUUUAUUUUCAGUCCUGCCCAGCACAACACAGACCCAUAACANCUUGUAUGUAUUAUUGUGCUAUCUGCUUAUUUACCAAUAGCAAUAGGACCAGUAAUGUUAACUGNUCAGUUGGUCUGGCCCAUAACAUAAUCGGUGUAUUUACAUAAAUAUUAUAGGAAUCCAUUAGUGAACCCACAGAAAGAACAGUAACGAGACACGCUACUUGGAAGAAAAAAAUGUAACAAGGUCUCCGUAGGUGAACCUGCGGAGGGAUCAUUACUGAGUGAGGGCUCACGCCCGACCUCCAACCCUUUGUGAACCAAACUUGUUGCUUCGGGGGCGACCCUGCCGACGACUCCGUCGCCGGGCGCCCCCGGAGGUCUUCUAAACACUGCAUCUUUGCGUCGGAGUUUAAAACAAAUUAAACAAAACUUUCAACAACGGAUCUCUUGGUUCUGGCAUCGAUGAAGAACGCAGCGAAAUGCGAUAAGUAAUGUGAAUUGCAGAAUUCAGUGAAUCAUCGAAUCUUUGAACGCACAUUGCGCCCUUUGGUAUUCCGAAGGGCAUGCCUGUUCGAGCGUCAUUUCACCACUCAAGCCUGGCUUGGUAUUGGGCGUCGCGGUGUUCCGCGCGCCUUAAAGACUUCCGGCUGAGCUGUCCGUCUCUAAGCGUUGUGGAUUUUUCAAUUCGCUUCGGAGUGCGGGCGGCCGCGGCCGUUAAAUCUUUAUUCAAAGGUGACCUCGGAUCAGGUAGGGAA